UACGAAGGGGGCUAGCGUUGCUCGGAAUCACUGGGCGUAAAGCACACGUAGGCGGAUCUUUAAGUCAGGGGUGAAAUCCUGGAGCUCAACUCCAGAACUGCCUUUGAUACUGGGGAUCUCGAGUCCGGGAGAGGUGAGUGGAACUGCGAGUGUAGAGGUGAAAUUCGUAGAUAUUCGCAAGAACACCAGUGGCGAAGGCGGCUCACUGGCCCGGUACUGACGCUGAGGUGCGAAAGCGUGGGGAGCAAACAGG
rnacentral:rRNA from 1 species